rnacentral:misc_RNA from 1 species
UUACAUACCGUUAAUUAAAUCUAUUAUUUUCUUAUUUAUCAUUUGUCUUUGUGCACUUAUGGACUUCAUCAGAUGGCCUCUUUGUCAAGGCAGGGUGGUUUAGCUCUAACAUUAGCUUCAACGACCUCCGCUGGCAUUUAAUGGCCGUGUUUUUUACUUGCAUGGCUGAUGAGUGAUAAGAGACAGGAAGUGUCCAUUGUAAAGGACUGAAAUGAAAUGAAAUGAAAAUUUUCAGCAAUGACAGUCUGUCAUCUUCCUUAUUUAUUAAUUGCUCCCCCCUUCUCUAUAAAACAUCAUUUUCUUUCACUCUUAAUCUCACACACUUGCUUUCCAGGAACACCUUUCUGGGUUUCUUUUUCAUCACUGUCUCGUCUCCGUUUUCUUUCUUCUCCUCCACUGUUCAGUUAGCAUCUUGUUUUCUGCUUUUCGAGGUGAAAAUUACAUCCCACCACCAAGCAUUAUCAUUAUUAUUAGGGUUCUCCCAUGGACACCACAUCGGCUCUUCUCAUCCUAUCGGUUGUUGCCGCUUAUUUGCUUUGGUGGAAAGUCGUUUCCCGCUCGCUUACUGGUCCACGUGUUUGGCCCUUAUUGGGUAGUCUUCCUGGUCUCAUCGCAAACGCUAAUUGCAUGCAUGAUUGGAUUGCACAUAAUCUCCGCUCCAGUGCUGGCACGUACCAGACUUGCACGUGUGCAAUUCCCUUUCUUGCCCGGAAGCAGGGUCUCGUGACUGUCACGUGCCACCCUAAGAACGUAGAGCACAUCUUGAAGACUAGGUUUGACAAUUACCCCAAGGGCCCUACUUGGCAAGCCGCCUUUCAUGAUUUGCUCGGCGAUGGCAUCUUCAACUCUGAUGGCGACACGUGGCUCUUCCAGCGUAAGACUGCUGCACUGGAAUUCACCACCAGGACUCUGCGCCAAGCCAUGGCUAGAUGGGUUAGCCGAGCCAUUAAAAAUCGAUUUUGUCCAAUACUUGAGUCGGCUCAGCUCCUAGCCCAGCCGGUUGAUCUUCAAGACUUACUGCUCCGGCUCACUUUUGAUAACAUUUGUGGCUUGGCUUUCGGCAAGGAUCCCCAGACGCUAUCCCCGAAGCUUCCCGAGAACGGCUUCUCCGUAUCUUUUGACCGAGCCACGGAAGCCACGCUGCAGCGCUUUAUUUUGCCUGAAGUAGUGUGGAAGCUCAAGAAAUGGCUUCGGCUUGGAAUGGAAACGAGCUUGAGCCAGAGCCUCCAGCACAUUGACACAUAUUUGUCCGACAUCAUCAAUUCACGUAAGCUUGAGUUGCUGACUGCGCAAAACGGACUUGCCACUGGGAACCCGCACGAUGACCUGUUGUCCAGGUUCAUGAAGAAAAAAGAAUCUUACACGGACAAAUUCCUUCAGCAUGUGGCAUUGAAUUUUAUCCUAGCUGGAAGAGACACAUCAUCAGUUGCACUGAGCUGGUUCUUUUGGUUGAUGAGCCAGCACCCAAAAGUGGAAGAGAAAAUCCUCACCGAAAUUUGCAGGGUUCUAAUGGAAACACGUGGCAGCGACAUUUCAAAAUGGUUGGAGGAGCCAUUAGUGUUUGAAGAAGUUGAUCGAUUGAUAUACCUCAAGGCAGCUUUAUCUGAGACCUUAAGGCUAUACCCUUCAGUGCCACAGGACUCCAAGCAUGUGGUAGCUGAUGAUGUUUUGCCAACCGGAACUCAUGUUCCGGCAGGAUCAUCAAUAACAUACUCAAUAUAUGCCAUUGGUCGCAUGGAAUUUAUAUGGGGAGAUGACUGCUUAGAAUUCAAGCCAGAAAGGUGGUUAUCCAUGGAUGGUAAGAAAAUUGAGAUACAAGACUCGUAUAGAUUUGUGGCGUUUAAUGCAGGUCCAAGAAUUUGCUUGGGCAAAGAUUUGGCUUAUUUGCAAAUGAAGUCGAUUGCAGCCGCAGUGUUAUUGCGACACCGACUGUCAGUGGUGGCAGGCCACCGAGUGGAGCAAAAAAUGUCACUGACAUUGUUUAUGAAGUAUGGGCUGAUGAUGAAUGUGCACCCACGAGACCUAAGUCCUAUUGUAGAAAGCAUAAACAAUAGUAAAAACAAUUAUCAUUGCAAUGGGGCAGUUGCUUAAGGUGUCUGGUCGAUGCCUUCCAUCAAAUAAAAAGGUGAAAUUAAAUUUGUACGAUAUCACCUAAGAGUAAUUAGUCUCUAUAACUAUAUGAAAUGCAAAGAAUUAAAUUGAAAAUAUUAUCAUAUUAUAAUAAAUGUUUUGAGUCUGAUGUCUAUUAGUCUUGACAUGCUAUCCAUCCAUGAAUAUGAAAGAAUUAUUAAUAGAUGUUCAUUAGACAAAUCCCUCCAAUUAUGCUUAAUCUUUGAGUCACUUUCAAACUUUUCUUUUUUUCUUUCAAGAAAGAUAGACAUUGUGAGCGAGAAAUAGAAUAUUAAAAUAAAAUAUUAAUUAUUAAAUUGUAACAUCUAAAAAUCAUACCCAGCUAAUUAAUAAUCUUAUUGAUUGCUGAAAAUCUUUGCUUGUGCCUGCAUAGAUUAAAUAUCAUAAUCAUCAUCAUCCAUCAUAAUCAUCACAAUUCCUUAGCCUUCAAUCUUCAUCUAAAUGCAUUGAUAACCAACUCGGUACUUUGGCCUCCCAAUCAUUCUACGAGUGCUCCCCAUAUGUGGCCCAACCAAACUAUAAUUAAGUGAUCUUUUUAGUAAAUACUACUCCAUAAAUAUAAUCAUCAUAUGUUUUCCAUUACAUAUUCAACUAUGAUUUUCUUUUUUUAAAGCUA